CCUUUUGAAGCAAAAUGAGGUGGCUGUGUUUUUUUGUGUGUGUGUGUGUUGUUUCUUUUUUUCCCAGGGAUUCCCCAAGUGGAUGGCUGUCAAAGAUUUUAAUAUACUGCAGGCACAGCAGCUAAUUCUCAAAUCUCUUGCAGAAGGAUCUUACAGAGGGAAGCUAGGAUGCAAAUCCUUUUGAAGGCUUUUUCCAUUUUGAAACCUAUAAAUAGGAAAGUAGGGCAAAAUGACUUUGACAAGUUUAGACCUCACCUUCUUUAAUUACUCUCUUUGGAUCAACAACCUGACUGCAAAUGCUUAUCUGCUCCCACAUUACGCACAGCCUUGAUGAGCACAGGAGAAGCAGUGAGUGCAGGGGGGAAUGUUUCAGAGCUGUGUGCUGAUCACGCUGUGUGGCCAGAGAUGGAGAAACCAGCACACAAAUUUACCAUCGGUGCUGUGCAGAGGAGCAAUUCAAUGCUCCAGCUGGUACAGAUGUGGAAAAUGCAUGGAACAGUUCCUGAAUUCCCACUAGUGGGGAGAGAACAGAUUUAAAUAUAAAUUGUACAUAAUAUGGGAGAGAGGCAUCACUAAAUACAGAUAUAUUGAACAGCAAUGAUAAAUCAAUCACAGAAAACCCUUCCAUGGCAUGACCUGUUCUUCUCCCAAAAGUUUGGAAGUGUUCCUAGGAAGAACAUAAGCCAUCCUCUGCUCUUCUGGGUUGAAUUUGAUGCAGAUACUGGAAGCACAAAAUGUUUCUGGUUAACUGAACCAAGGCA